ACGUAGGGUGCAAGCGUUAAUCGGAAUUACUGGGCGUAAAGCGUGCGCAGGCGGCUAUGCAAGACAGAUGUGAAAUCCCCGGGCUCAACCUGGGAACUGCAUUUGUGACUGCAUGGCUAGAGUGCGGCAGAGGGGGAUGGAAUUCCGCGUGUAGCAGUGAAAUGCGUAGAUAUCAGGAGGAACACCGGUGGCGAAGGCGCACAUCUGGCCCAAUACUGACGCUGAAGCGCGAAAGCUAGGGGAGCAAACGGGA
rnacentral:rRNA from 1 species